UACAGAGGGGGCAAGCGUUGUUCGGAAUUACUGGGCGUAAAGGGCGCGUAGGCGGCCCGCUAAGUCGAACGUGAAAUCCCCGAGCUCAACUCGGGAACUGCGUCCGAUACUGGCGGGCUUGAAUCCGGGAGAGGGAUGCGGAAUUCCAGGUGUAGCGGUGAAAUGCGUAGAUAUCUGGAGGAACACCGGUGGCGAAGGCGGUUCUCUGGGCAUUACCUGACGCUGAGGAGCGAAAAGUGUGGGGGAGCGAACAGG
rnacentral:rRNA from 1 species